AGAGUUUGAUCAUGGCUCAGGACGAACGCUGGCGGCGUGCCUAAUACAUGCAAGUCGAGCGGAAUGAUGAAGAAGCUUGCUUCUUCUGAUUUUAGCGGCGGACGGGUGAGUAACACGUGGGCAACCUACCUUGUAGAUUGGGAUAACUCCGGGAAACCGGGGCUAAUACCGAAUAAUCCAUUUUGCUUCAUGGCAAAAUGUUAAAAGGCGGCUUCGGCUGUCACUACGAGAUGGGCCCGCGGCGCAUUAGCUAGUUGGUAGGGUAACGGCCUACCAAGGCAACGAUGCGUAGCCGACCUGAGAGGGUGAUCGGCCACACUGGGACUGAGACACGGCCCAGACUCCUACGGGAGGCAGCAGUAGGGAAUCUUCCACAAUGGACGAAAGUCUGAUGGAGCAACGCCGCGUGAGUGAAGAAGGUUUUCGGAUCGUAAAACUCUGUUGUAAGGGAAGAACACGUACGAGAGUAACUGCUCGUACCUUGACGGUACCUUAUUAGAAAGCCACGGCUAACUACGUGCCAGCAGCCGCGGUAAUACGUAGGUGGCAAGCGUUGUCCGGAAUUAUUGGGCGUAAAGCGCGCGCAGGCGGUCCUUUAAGUCUGAUGUGAAAGCCCACGGCUCAACCGUGGAGGGUCAUUGGAAACUGGGGGACUUGAGUACAGAAGAGGAGAGUGGAAUUCCACGUGUAGCGGUGAAAUGCG
rnacentral:rRNA from 1 species